UAAUGGUUUGAAACUGAAUUCCUUGGCUUUUAAACUGAAUUUGUUUGCUUUGAAAAUUGCUUUGCUAUGUAUUGAAAAUUCCAUUUGAUAACUUUCAUUUUCUAUUCCAAAAUUCAAUUCCAGUUCCAAAAUUCCGUUUUUUUUGUGUCACACAUCAAAGUCCUUGAAACCACAGAUUAAUUAAACACAGAAUUACUGAUUCACGGAUGUCAUUCACUAUUGCUGUGUUCAAAUUCAGAUGCGACUUUUAUGGCCAUACAGUGAAGUAAAAACGAAUGCUGUCAGAGAGGUGCUGAUUAUAUUGGUUCAGACACUUUUGGUUUGUUUUACAAGCCCUGCUACUGCAACACAUUGAGGGGCAGAGAAGAAAGAGUGCUUGGAGACCAGCUGCUUUACACCAGCUCUCGCCUCCGUAGUGGGAUCCUAUUCACGUGAUAGAAGAUACACUCUGCCUAGGGAUUUUGUCUUUAACUGUCUCUUUCAAGGAUAAUGCCAGUGAGCUAUUGCUGCAGGUAUUUACUCUUAAUUUUCUUAUCCCAUUGAUACUACUACUGGCUCAGUGCUUUCUUGUUUUAUUGUGUUUCUUAGAUGGAACUACUAAUGGUAUUAGUGAUGUCACUAACGGUGUGUGCUGUAUUCUUUCCCAAAUAAACUACUCCUGGACUGGUG